rnacentral:rRNA from 1 species
AUUGAACGCUGGCGGCAUGCCUUACACAUGCAAGUCGAACGGCAGCACGGGUGCUUGCACCUGGUGGCGAGUGGCGAACGGGUGAGUAAUACAUCGGAACAUGUCCUGUAGUGGGGAUAGCCCGGCGAAAGCCGGAUUAAUACCGCAUACGAUCUACGGAUGAAAGCGGGGGACCUUCGGGCCUCGCGCUAUAGGGUUGGCCGAUGGCUGAUUAGCUGGUUGGUGGGGUAAAGGCCUACCAAGGCGACGAUCAGUAGCUGGUCUGAGAGGACGACCAGCCACACUGGGACUGAGACACGGCCCAGACUCCUACGGGAGGCAGCAGUGGGGAAUUUUGGACAAUGGGCGAAAGCCUGAUCCAGCAAUGCCGCGUGUGUGAAGAAGGCCUUCGGGUUGUAAAGCACUUUUGUCCGGAAAGAAAUCCUUGGCCCUAAUACGGUCGGGGGAUGACGGUACCGGAAGAAUAAGCACCGGCUAACUACGUG